CGAUGAUGGAGGUGACACAAAAGAGAUAAGAGAAGGGCAUGCAAAGCAUGCUUCUUCCUUUGUAUCCUUUGUGUCACUUCUUGAUUAGCGGCAGACGGGUGAGUAACACGUUGGAAUCUACCCCAGAGUGAGGGAUAGCCCGGAGAAAUCCGGAUUAAUACCGCAUAGUCCCGAGAGGGUAAAAGAGCAAUCUGCUCUGGGAGGAUCCUGCGUCCUAUCAGCUAGUUGGCGGGGUAAAAGCCCACCAAGGCUAUGACGGGUAGUUGGUCUGAGAGGAUGACCAACCACAAUGGGACUGAGACACGGCCCAUACUCCUACGGGAGGCAGCAGUGAGGAAUCUUCCGCAAUGGGCGCAAGCCUGACGGAGCGACACCGCGUGGAGGACGAAGCCUUUGUUGGUGUAAACUCCUUUUUUCUCCGAAGAUAAUGACGGUAGGAGAAGAAUAAGAAGCAGCAAACUACGUGCCAGCAGCUGCGGUAAUACGUAGGCUUCAAGCGUUAUCCGGAAUUACUGGGUGUAAAGCGUCUGUAGGCGGCAGAGUAAGUUUGGCAUGAAAGACCGGGGCUUAACCCCGUGUUUGUGUCGAAAACUGCUCAGCUAGAAUCUGGGAGAGGGAAGCAGAAUGAUGUGAGUAGGGGUGCAAUCCGUUGAUACACAUCAGAAUACCAAAAGCGAAGGCAGCUUCCUGGAACAGUAUUGACGCUCAGAGACGAAAGCGUGGGGAGCGAAAAGGAUUAGAUACCCUUGUAGUCCACGCCCUAAACGAUGAUGACUAGGUGUCGGCGUAAGCCGGUGCUAUAAGCUAACGCGUUAAGUCAUCCACCUGAGGAGUACGGCCGCAAGGUUAAAACUCAAAUGAAUAGACGGGGACCCACACAAGCAGUGGAUCAUGUGGUUUAA
rnacentral:rRNA from 1 species